CAACAAUAGAAACAAUCAAAUUCCAUCAUUCUUCCUACAAAUUCCGAGUUCCUUUCUGCUGCUACUACAGAUUUUCCCAAGGUUUCCUGUAGAGAUUUUUUUCGCUGCUGUUUGCUUCAUUUCCAAUACCGUUCCUCGUAGAAAUUUCCCAAAACGGUGGUCUGCUGUUUGCCUAUUUCCCAAAGCUCCUUCCUGCCAAAUUUUGUUGCUGAUUUAGGGUUACUCACGUGGAAUUCAGAUUAGCCACGCCGACAAUGAAGAAGAAAACAAAUGUUACCCCUUUGAACAGCAGGGGAUUUUGUUUUUCAUGCACAUGGGGUUUCUCACAAGAUAUAUAUAUAUAUAUACAUAUCCUUUGGAUGGAAUUGCUGUUAUGCGAAGGAGGAUAUCUUUUUCAUCUAACUCCUGGGCAUAUUUUAUCAACAAUCGAGGUUUGUAUAUAUAUAGGUAUAUACUAAUAAAACCCAUAUGCAGCUUUCUUCAUUUCUAACGCUUUGCAACAGCCAAAUUGAACCGCUUGACCUCUGUUUGCUGGCUCAAUGGUUUCUCCAAGAAUUCUGAAUGUGCUACAAACGAAAGCGGUGGAGACUCAAGCUUCAGCAUGUGGCUGUUGCCUCUUCUCUGCCUUCUACCUUGUUUGAAAGAAAUUGCACAAAUAUGUGUAUGUAUUCCAAAUGAUUGUAAGAGAAGAGGUAAAAUUGAUCUCUAAGGUGUGGCUAUGGUUUUGUCCCAAAAUCUGUAGAUAUAAUACAGAUUUCAAAUUGUGGGAAUUGGUUGGAUCUCUAGAUUGGACAAGCGGUGUGCCCAUGUGCUUUGUAUCAGAUGCUCAGAUGUAGAAAAUUAUAUAUAUACAGCUCUUCAUGCUACAGUUAGGUGUCAGCUGCAGCAAACCAAAAAAUCUGCUCGAAAAACGACGAGCAAUGAAAUCGUUGCCUUUUAUUGCCUGGCUUGACUAUUAUUGCAUUAGAAUUGAAAGCUAAUGCGAUUCAAGAUUUAGUGAUUCUUGGUAAUCAACAAACACUAUGGCGUAGUUCUGAAUGAUCCUGCUGGAGUGCCACUGUCAACUAUAUACAGUUUUUAUUGACUUUGUGAGCAGAUAAUUUCUUAAACCACUUCACUAACCUUUGUUCUUCAAACAUCCAGGGUGUAGUAGGGCUCACCACAUGAGUCCUAAUUCUAAAUCAGUUGUUGAUUUCAUAGAAGGUUCAUCAAGGGUUCAUUUUACCUGGAUUUCACUUGGAUGGAUUGGAGCAAAGAAAUUCAGAGGUGGAGCAAUCAGCAGCUGAACAUGUGCAUAAAUAACCUUUUGUCAUUGGUGAGUUUAGGCACAUCAUAGAUUUUUUCUUUUUCUUUUUUUUAUAAAUAUCAUAGUAGAUCAUUUUAAUCAUUCCCUCAUAUUGUCUUGUUCAUUGCGCUACAUAAUGAAUUUUUUUAUUUGAAUGUUGAAAAUUGAGAUGUUAGUCUAUUCUCUUAUACGAUUUGCACCCCCUUGGUACCUUUUAGCAUUAUCUAUUCUGUUGAUUUUGGAGAUCUCUCUCUCACCAUUGGUACACCUCUUUCCCACUCUUUCUCUCUCCAUACACACAUAUAUACAAGCACACACAUGGGUGUGUGUGUGGGACUUGAUUCUUCUUGGUUUAUGGAUAUUUGUAGUUGGUUCUUCAAUAAACAUGGUUUCAAUUCUGAGUUUAUAACAAUUUUGAGUAGAACAUUUGAAAAUUUUGAUUGAAGGUUUGUGGGUUUAGUUUCUAUGUUGUUAGUUUUAAGGUGAAUUUAACUGGACAUAAACAAGGGAAUCAAAUUUGAUUGCUCUGUUUUUGGGUUGGCUAAUAAUGGAAGUACACCUCAUGCCUGUGUAAUGGGUCUUAGGCAUUUUUUCAUAAUGGUGCUGAGGUUCGUCGCUGGAAAAUUGUUGUUAAGAGCAACCCCUAAAAAGAAAAGAAAAGAACCGAAAAGAAUGGAAAGGAAAUAAUAAUGUAUGUCGUAUUUCUAUUGCUUGACAUGAUUGUUGGGCCAUAUAUUAUGUAGAGACUUCAUACGACUUAGAAUGUUAUUACAAUUUGUAAAUUCCAUUUUGGUGAUUUGGUUUUGGAUGACCUAGAUGUUCAGCAUCAGCAAUGCAAAGCUUAUGUACACUCAGAGUUGCAUUUCGCUAAUUUGCAGAAUUAAGCAGGACAGUAGAUUUCAGGGGGCUUUAGCAUUGGCAUCAGUAGCAAUAUGCUUUCUAAUUGUGUAGGUAGGCUUUGCUAUCUUAAUGGGCACUUUACUGAUAUAGAAUAUGCAAUGUAUCCUUGAUACACUUGGCAUUCUCUAGAUGUUACCUUUUAUUGGAUCAGUAGUCUCAGCAGUGAACAUCCUCUAUGCCUCACAAUUUUUUAUCCACUUGUGUUUUUUGAACUUCCAAACAGCAAUUUGGCUUAGAAAUGUAGUUUCUUUUUGCUUGUUUAGCUAAUAUAGUUUUCUUGUGAUAAUGGAAAUGAUAUAAACUGAAAAAUCAAUGUGCACUUUAUUUUAUUUUUUUUUGAUGGGCUUUACUCAUUUUUUAUUUGACUUCAUUAAAUAUUGAGCUUAAAGUCCUUGCUAUGACCAUUUCCACAUGUGGAUUUCAAGAUCAAGCUGCUAGCAGUUGGUGGGACACGGGUAAUUAACAUAGAUGACUUGUUAUUUGGAACUAUUUUAUUUAUUCAAUGUGGAAAAUUUCUUGGAUCCCAAUAGUAUUUCCCCCUCAUACAUGUGAUAAAUUUUUUAGCUUUUUCUUGGAUGUUUUUGUUAUUUUGGGGCUCGAAACGAAAGAAAGCCUAUAAAUGGUGGUUUUUCAGCUUUCUUACACAAUACUUAAAUGAAUUUUUGAAUUUUACAAAUUGUCCUUGAGCAACAUAAUAAAAAAUGUGGUUAGGUAAUCUAAUGUUCCAUAAACGAUUUUUUGAGCAGUUUUUAACACGUGAAAUGGCUAAUACAGUUGCUAAAAUAGCUACUUUCUAAUACCAAAAUCCUACGGCUGCCUUUAUGAAAACUUUAGAUAAAAAAAUAACUGCUAAAGUGUUUGUGCAAGUUCAAGUGGUUUCGGAGUUGUGGAAGGAGAGCCCUUAAAUUAUAUAUUGACAUGUAUCUAUCUUUCAAAACCGAAACACAAACAAAAACAACAAUUUAGAAAAGUUUUUUUCUGGACAAGCUUUACUAAACAUAUUUUAUUCAAACAUAUAUUAUUCAAUAUUCAGAUACGAGACUAUUAAAUUUUUUGGUUUGCAGCUAGACAGGAGAGGUUUGGAACAUUGAUAAGCUCUUACUAUAGAGGUGCACAUGGAAUUAUUCUCGUGAUGCAAACCCACGCACAAAACGCCUGGGGCCAACUAGUAAAGUGAAGAGAAGAGCUGGAGAGAGAAAUAAGCAACCCACGAGACUCUUUGAAAGAUGUGAGGAGGCUCUUUGAAUGAUGUGAUAUAAUAAAAGGGAAGCACUGUGAUAGAGGGUUUCUCAUCAAUUGGGCUGUAAACAAUUCGACUCCAGUUGAAUUUGGGCUUGGCUUAAUGAGUAAUGAGGUUUGAAUUUCACUUGGGUUGA